rnacentral:rRNA from 1 species
GAUGAACGCUGGCGGCGUGCCUAAUACAUGCAAGUCGAGCGAACAGAUAAGGAGCUUGCUCCUUUGACGUUAGCGGCGGACGGGUGAGUAACACGUGGAUAACCUACCUAUAAGACUGGGAUAACUUCGGGAAACCGGAGCUAAUACCGGAUAACAUAUUGAACCGCAUGGUUCAAUAGUGAAAGGCGGCUUUGCUGUCACUUAUAGAUGGAUCCGCGCCGUAUUAGCUAGUUGGUAAGGUAACGGCUUACCAAGGCAACGAUACGUAGCCGACCUGAGAGGGUGAUCGGCCACACUGGAACUGAGACACGGUCCAGACUCCUACGGGAGGCAGCAGUAGGGAAUCUUCCGCAAUGGGCGAAAGCCUGACGGAGCAACGCCGCGUGAGUGAUGAAGGUCUUCGGAUCGUAAAACUCUGUUAUCAGGGAAGAACAAAUGUGUAAGUAACUGUGCACAUCUUGACGGUACCUGAUCAGAAAGCCACGGCUAACUACGUGCCAGCAGCCGCAGUAACAC